rnacentral:rRNA from 1 species
GGAGGGUGCGAGCGUUGUCCGGAAUCAUUGGGCGUAAAGGGCGCGUAGGUGGCCCGGUGAGUCUUUGGUGAAAGCGCGGGGCUCAACCCUGCGUCGGCCAGGGAUACUGCCGCGGCUCGAGCACUGUAGAGGCAGGCGGAAUUCCGGGUGUAGCGGUGGAAUGCGUAGAGAUCCGGAAGAACACCGGUGGCGAAGGCGGCCUGCUGGGCAGUGGCUGACGCUGAGGCGCGACAGCGUGGGGAGCAAACAGGAUUAGAUACCCUGGUAGUCCACGCCGUAAACGAUGGGCACUAGGCGCUUGGGGGAGAGACCCCUCGAGGGCCGGCGCUAACGCAUUAAGUGCCCCGCCUGGGGAGUACGGCCGCAAGGCUG